UGUAAGCGUAUACCAAAGUUGUUGCAGUUAAAACGCUCGUAGUCGGAAUUUGGCAGUUCCGGAUGUGUGCACGUCGUGUGCGCACUUCGCGGGGAUUGCUUUUGUGGUCUUGCGUAGGAUGAGGCACUUUUAUUAGUGAACGUCCUCACGCAACCACUUUUUACUGUGGGAAAAUCAGAGUGCUCAAAGCAGGCAUUUGCCGUGAAUGUAUUAGCAUGGAAUAAUAGAAUAGGACUUGGUUCUAUUUUGUUGGUUUGUUGGGACUGAGUAAUGAUUAAGAGGGACAGUUGGGGACAUUUGUAUUUCGGUGCUAGAGGUGAAAUUCUUAGAUUACCGAAAGACAAACUGCUGCGAAAGCGUCUGCCAAGGAUGUUUUCAUUGA
rnacentral:rRNA from 1 species